AAAGGCCUACCAAGGCGAAGACGGGUAGGGGGUGUGAGAGCACGGCCCCCCACAAUGGGACUGAAACACGGCCCAUACUCCUACGGGAGGCAGCAGCAGGGAAUAUUGCACAAUAGGCGAAAGCCUGAUGCAGCGACGCCGCGUGAGUGAAGAAGGCCUUCGGGUCGUAAAGCUCUUUUGUAGGGGAAGAGGAAGGACGGUACCCUAAGAAGAAGCGUCGGCUAACUACGUGCCAGCAGCCGCGGUAAGACGUAGGACGCGAGCGUUAUCCGGAAUUACUGGGCGUAAAGGGCCAGCAGGCGGCUUGGUAAGUUGUGCGUGAAAGCCUCGUGCUCAACGCGAGGAAGCCGGACAAUACUGUCAAGCUAGAGGGCAUCAGAGGGGAGUGGAAUUCCCGGAGUAGCGGUAAAAUGCGCAGAUAUCGGGAGGAACACCGAUGGCGAAGGCAGCUCCCUGGGAUGCACCUGACGCUAAGAGGCGAAAGCUAGGGGAGCGAACAGGAUUAGAGACCCUGGUAGUCCUAGCUGUAAACGCUGGGUGCUAGGUGUGGGACGUAGAAGUUCCGUGCCGGAACAAACGCGAUAAGCACCCCGCCUGGGAAUUACGGUCGCAAGGCUAAAACUCAAACGAAUUGACGGGGCCCCGCACAAGCAGCGGAGCGUGUGGUUCAAUUCGAUGCUACACGAAGAACCUUACCUGGGUCUGACAUGUACGUGGUACGAAGGCGAAAGCCUAAGGACCCUUCGGGGAGCGUACACAAGUGCUGCAUGGCUGUCGUCAGCUCGUGCCGUGAGGUGUCGGGUUAAGUCCCGUAACGAGCGCAACCCUUGCCCUUAGUUACAAGUAUCUAAGGGGACUGCCGGCGGGAAGCCGGAGGAACCUGGGGAUGACGUCAAGUCAGCAUGGCCCUUAUGUCCAGGGCUACACACACGCUACAAUGGUCAGUACAAAGGGUAGCGAAGUCGCGAGGCGGAGCGAAUCUCAACAAAGCUGAUCGUAGUUCGGAUUGCAGGCUGCGACCCGCCUGCAUGAAGCUGGAGUUGCUAGUAACCGCGCGUCAGCCAUCGUGCGCCGAUACGUACCCGGGGCUUGUACACACCGCCCGUCACGUCAUGGGAGUCGGUAACGCCUGAAGCCGGUA
rnacentral:rRNA from 1 species